CGAGAGUGUCACCACUCCCAACCACUGUUUACCCACCCGUCCACUGUGCCUCGGCAGGCAGCCCUGUGGGACAGAGCCUCGCCCCCCCUCGCGGGGGGUGCCUGCCGCUGGCCGACCCAAACUCUAGCUGUUUUAUACUGUCUGAGUCUUCCACAAAUGAACA
rnacentral:misc_RNA from 1 species